rnacentral:rRNA from 1 species
UCAGAACGAACGCUGGCGGCGUGCUUAACACAUGCAAGUCGAACGCGAACGAGUUCUUCGGAACUUUAGUAGAGUGGCGCACGGGUGAGUAACGCGUAAGUAAUCUACCCUCGCAUCUGGGGUAACCCACCGAAAGGUGUGUUAAUACCGGAUACGUCUAUGUUAAUAUCUUUUUUAUAGAGAAAGGUGGCCUCUGAUUCAAGCUACUGUGCGGGGAGGAGCUUGCGUACCAUUAGCUAGUUGGUAGGGUAACGGCCUACCAAGGCGACGAUGGUUAGCGGGUCUGAGAGGAUGAUCCGCCACACUGGAACUGAAACACGGACCAGACUCCUACGGGAGGCAGCAGUGAGGAAUAUUGCGCAAUGGGGGCAACCCUGACGCAGCGACGCCGCGUGGAUGAUGAAGGCCUUCGGGUUGUAAAAUCCUGUCAGAUGGGAAGAAGUGUGUAGUACUUAAUACGUGCUACAUUUGACGGUACCAUCAAAGGAAGCACCGGCUAACUCCGUGCCAGCAGCCGCGGUAAUACGGAGGGUGCAAGCGUUGUUCGGAAUUACUGGGCGUAAAGCGCGCGUAGGCGGCUAUAUAAGUCAGAUGUGAAAGCCCGCGGCUCAACCGUGGAAGUGCAUUUGAAACUGUAUAGCUUGAGUACUGGAGGGGGUAGUGGAAUUCCCGGUGUAGAGGUGAAAUUCGUAGAUAUCGGGAGGAAUACCGGUGGCGAAGGCGACUACCUGGCCAGAUACUGACGCUGAG